GUAGGUGGGGCCGGGAGCUUCACCCGUGGCGCCUCGAUGGGGCGCCUCUAGCAGGCGGGUGCAGCCUGUCCCGCGUACCCAGGCGUCCUCGGUACCCACGAAACGGAUCCAAAGAGUCUCAACACUAAUGUAACAUCCCACCCUGACCCAUCUUUGCCCUCUGAGAAAAGCGGCCCGAAAUGAGUUGAGUUAUUCAUCCCCACCGCGGAGUCAGGGACAAGGAGCAGUUGAGUGGCCGAGGAGUGAGAGAGAAUCGAAUCCACUCGGGUCCUCCAAGCUGUUGGUUACCCACUUGGGCUUUCACAGCAAAGCUGCCAAAUCCCAGAAUUGAGGCCUCGGUGAAAAGCGCGCUGAGACUUGGGUAGGAGGCCCGGUGGGACCCGCGAGCUUUCUCUCCCAGCCCGAUGCAGCAGUUCAUUAAGCGGCUGUGUUUCCUCCUAACUGGCGAAGGACUCAGGUGGGCGGAGCAGAGCUCAGCUUGGGAGGAGGCGGACGCGAGUAGCUCGGCAGGGGGACUCGCUUGGCUUUCGUGCCAUCCGUGGACACAGUCGCGCGGGUAGGUGACCGGGUUGGAUUUCAAAGUCCAGCAGGAAAUCCUGCCCUCUGGGUUGCACUUCCUGGAUGAGCCUCUGACGUCUCAAGCAGCAUUGUUUUAAUGCUUUGAUGAAGCUCAGCACGCUGCCGAAAUCUCGGCAGUAUUUUUUCUUUUCUUUUUGCAUGUGAGAGAAAGGACAACAAAUUGCAGUUUUAUCCAUUUGUAUUAUUUCUUUAGAAAACUCAACACUCUUUUUGUUGGAGGUGGGGAAAUGAGAAGGUGAUGUUUUGUUUUGCUUUUUUUCCUAUUUUUUUUUUUUAAAGGAGGAGAAGAUGACAGUGUUCUCCCUAAGGAUGAAGUUUGACUUUUGAAACAUAUCACAUGCUUAAAGCACAUUUGAGCUCCUGCAUGAACAGUAAGCUAGCAGAUGGUAGAAAUAUUCUUUAUUAAUUCAAAAAAUAUUUACUGCGGACCUACAAUGUGCCAAGCAUGUCUCCUGACACUGGGGAUAAGCAGUGAACAACAACAAAAAGACAAACUUCUUCCACCCUGAGGCGUAUGUUCUCGGUGAGAAAUGGGCAAUAAACAUAAUACCUAAGAAAAUUAUACGGGAUGUUAGUGACAAAUGCAGUGGAGGAAAAGGGAGGCCAGGGGCAUCAAGUGUGGAGAUCAGAAGUGGUAGAGUUACAAUUUUAAAUAAGAGGGACAGAUAGACAUGAUUAAGGAGGUGAAGUUUGAGCAGACAGUUGAGGGAGACCAGGAAGCUAGUUUUGUGUGUGCCCAAGUAAGAGUAUUCUAGGCAGAGACAGCAGCUGUUAAAAGGCUUUAAAUGGAGAAUGUGCCUGGCAUGUUCAAUUACAGCAGACGUGUGUGGGUCUGGCACAGAAAGAACAAGGGGAAAAGAAGAAAGAAGUAUUAAUAGACAAAGUAUUUAGUUAAGGAGAGCAGGGCAAAUUCUGUAAGGCAUUCAGAGCCAUUUCACUCCGGAAAAAAAAUGUGUAAUAUUGAAUAUACGUGUUAAAUGUUGAAUCUAUGGAAUUACCUUGGAGCUUAAAAUGAGUGUGCGAAGAAGAGGAUUCCCAUCUUUUAGUUGUUAUUACUAAAUCAAAUAGCUACUUGAUUGGAAGAUCAUUCAUCUUCAGUACUCUUGAGAGCGAUUUAAACAUGUCACCAAGCAUAUUUUUUUCCCUACUGGAGGAUGUUAAUUGGUGAUUAGGUAGUCUAGCAAAAUCAGAUUCUUUAUGGAAAAAAUUUGUCAAUUGACAUACUAUUCUUAGGCACCACUUUCGCAGAACUAUGCGUCUAACUUUCAAAGGUCUAUUAUAUAUUAUUAAUACUCUUUUCAGAUAAAAUAUAAAUCUAGUUCCCUAAAAUUAAACCAUUUCAUGCAUGUCUUUUUUUUCUUACACAUAUAUCUUUAUUUUGCCUACACCAUUCUUUAAUACUAGAAAUGUACAGAAAGUCAAGGCAAGGUGUGUGUAGGAGACUUUGCAGUGGUUUUUGGCAUACUGAUCUGUUCAUAGAAAAUGGUAUUUAAAUGUGCAAAUGCAUGAUUAUGUCCACGGAAAGGGUGGUUCAUACUGCACAAAAGCAUCAAGUUUAAGACUUGGAUAACCUGUUUCGUGUGCAAGAGUCGGGAUAUGUAAUCAGAUUGUUUAUGGAAUAGCUGAAGUUCUUGGCAAGCUGUGGACUUCCUCAUCUCCUACCUAACAUUCCUAGGUUCCUGAGGUGGAGCCUUGAUUUAAAAGGGUUGCAACUUAGCCACCCCACCCUAAAUGAAACCUAUCAUGUAUAACAUCACAUUACCUGGAACAGGUUUGACUUGAUUUAGUAAAACCGAAUAUACAAAAACGUGUACUAAAAGGUCAAGAGAUAGAGAAAUAAUGUUUCAGUUUGAGAAAUAAACAUUUUUUUAACUUUAAA
rnacentral:lncRNA from 1 species